GAUGAACGCUAGCUACAGGCUUAACACAUGCAAGUCGCGGGGCAGCAUGGGGGUUGCUUGCAAUCCCCGAUGGCGACCGGCGCACGGGUGAGUAACGCGUAUCCAACCUGCCCUUCACCACGGGAUAACCCGGCGAAAGUCGGACUAAUACCGUAUGUUGUCCAUUGACGGCAUCCGAUUUGGACGAAAGGUUUGGCGGUGAAGGAUGGGGAUGCGUCCGAUUAGCUGGACGGCGGGGUGACGGCCCACCGUGGCGACGAUCGGUAGGGGUUCUGAGAGGAAGGUCCCCCACACUGGAACUGAGACACGGUCCAGACUCCUACGGGAGGCAGCAGUGAGGAAUAUUGGUCAAUGGGCGUAAGCCUGAACCAGCCAAGUAGCGUGCAGGAUGACGGCCCUAUGGGUUGUAAACUGCUUUUAUGAGGGGAUAAAGUGGCCCACGUGUGGGUUUUUGCGGGUACCGCAUGAAUAAGGACCGGCUAAUUCCGUG
rnacentral:rRNA from 1 species